GUUCGUAGCUUCCUGUUUAUUUCCAGAAAUGUCAUUCGUGCCUAGACAAACUACUACUUUGUUCACCUCGUCAGUCUCGUUUAUUGUGUCUAUGGCUUUAUUUAUCGUGUCGUCUAUUCUGGUGAACGUCGUUCCCGAUAUUGCUGCGUUGACAAUGUUUUUUGAGUCGUUUUUUAGUCUAGUACAAUUAGAUGCACCUAGCAACACACAUUUAGGCCUACUAAAACACGAGCUCGAGUCUGUAGAGUUUCCAGCUGUCGCGUUGAUGUCGGACACAUUCUCCUUAGGUCAUCCCCACAUGUCUACAUCAGCAUGGCGCAUCAUCUGUCAGCAGAGAACAAUCUGACAAAACCACCUUAACCAUGACGUCAUAAUUCAUCCUACCUAUGGCUGAGAAGGUGUACAUCAACCAAGGACAAACAGGACAAGUUUAACCCAUCACCCGAAAAGCUGUACCUACAAGUAACUCCAAUAUGAAAAGAAGGAUGGCCGAAAAAGCUAGUUUGAUGAUGAUCCAGGAGUGAGUAGAGCAAAACCCAACAUAUCAAGCCAUUCGUCCAUGACAGAGCCUGAACAGACCAAGCAAACACAAGGUUUGUAAGAAAAUGGCUGCAUCCUCAUCAGACAAUAGGGAAAAGGCCACAGCGAUCCAUAAUGUACUGGUUGAUCAUUUGGAUCGACAUCUUGAGGACCAAGAUUUCAAACGACUGAAAAAUUGUUUUAGGAAUUGUCCUUUUACUCCUGCAGACUUUAAAAGCAUUCUGAAUGUUAAUGACCUAUUUGAAUGUCUUACCAAGUGUACGAACAUAGAUUUGGGAAGCUACGAAACGAUUAUAUCAAAGUUGAAUGUUAUUAAUCGUAAACAGGCUAGACAUGUGGAGGAACAACAAAGACGAAUUCAGGAAAUCCUGGAUGAAGGACCACCGGCAGCAAAGAAACCUAGAACCGAAAGAGAUGGAAACCAGAUUAGAG